rnacentral:lncRNA from 1 species
UUCAAGUAUGAAAUCAACAUAGUAUUUUUUUUUUUCUCUGAUGAUCAUGAAAGAACACAUAAACUACAAAGGUGUAUUUCAAAAAAAAAAACUACAAAGACGUAAUGUAAAAGCAAAAGUAGGGAACCAAAAUGAGGUUGAGUAGAUAAAGCAGACUUGCAGAGUCUGUUCUACCUUUUCAAAAUAAUCAAUUUCACUAUGCAACUAAAAAUGUGACCGUAGAGUUUCACUUCAAAACCACCAAAAAAAGAAGGAAGAAAUAUAAUAUGGUAAUGGAACCUCUCUUCAUAAAGGAAUACAGAUUUCAUACUUUGAUUUCCAUGAUCACAUCAGGAUUUCAAGAGUGAAGCUAAAGAGAGUUUUCAGGUCCUUCAAAAGCUCCAUGCUGAUGAAAAAAUGACCGCUUGUUACAAUGGAUUAAGGUUAAUAAUAAGAAAAAUCGAUAACAGGUUUCAGACUGUUCAAAACAAAACAAAACAAAAAAAACCAGGUCUGAGACCACACCAACAAACCUGAUUUAAAGAAGAGUCAAUUAGCUUCGAACCAUUCUCUACCUUCAAUAUGUUGUUACACACAUCUUUUCUGCAACGAAUUUCAGAAAUACAAAAAGUUAUCAAUUGUGUUUUUCAAAAUAGAAUGAAAAAAAUGAUGAGAGAUAUCAGGUAUGUGAAUAGAUAGAAUCACUGCAAAUGCUAAGACUAUAGUCGCCACAUAAAAUAAAAUAUUCUUCUCGAAUAUUGAUAAAUAACAAAUUGCAGUCAAAAUUGAUAACUUGAUAUAUCCCAGACAAAAGAAAACCCUUUCUAGUUAAAAAAAAACCCUCGAUAUAAAUAAAACAAAAAGUAAGCAUGACAAUCACCACUACGAAAACCAACAUUGAUGCCUUAAAAUACCUAUAUGCUUUCGGUUUUAGAAGGCUCUGAAUAAGUGUUCAUCCAAAAUUCAUGUAAUCAAUUGUUCAAGUAUCG